AUCCAGCUGAUGAGUCACAAAUAAGACGAAACGCGCGUCCUGGAU
rnacentral:hammerhead_ribozyme from 1 species